UACUAAGGGGGCUAGCGUUGUUCGGAUUUACUCGGCGUAAAGCGCACGUAGGCGGAUCGAUCAGUCAGGGGUGAAAUCCCAGAGCUCAACUCUGGAACUGCCUUUGAUACUGUCGAUCUGGAGUAUGGAAGAGGUGAGUGGAAUUCCGAGUGUAGAGGUGAAAUUCGUAGAUAUUCGGAGGAACACCAGUGGCGAAGGCGGCUCGCUGGAACGGUACUGACGCUGAGGCGCGAAAGCGUGGGGAGCGAACAGG
rnacentral:rRNA from 1 species